rnacentral:rRNA from 1 species
GCCUUUCGGGAGCCGUAAGACAGGUGCUGCAUGGCUGUCGUCAGCUCGUGUCGUGAGAUGUUGGGUUAAGUCCCGCAACGAGCGCAACCCCCUAUCCUCAGUUGCCAUCAUUAAGUUGGGCACUCUGUGGAGACUGCCGGUGUUAAACCGGAGGAAGGUGGGGAUGACGUCAAGUCCUCAUGGCCCUUAUGACCAGGGCUACACACGUGCUACAAUGGCCGGUACAAAGAGUUGCGAGACCGCGAGGUGGAGCCAAUCUCAGAAAGCCGGUCUCAGUUCGGAUUAGAGUCUGCAACUCGACUCUAUGAAGUUGGAAUCGCUAGUAAUCGCGGAUCAGCACGCCGCGGUGAAUACGUUCCCGGGCCUU